CCUACGGGAGGCAGCAAUGAGGAAUAUUGGUCAAUGGACGAGAGUCUGAACCAGCCAAGUAGCGUGAAGGAUGACUGCCCUAUGGGUUGUAAACUUCUUUUAUAUGGGAAUAAAAUGUUCCACGUGUGGGAUUUUGUAUGUACCAUAUGAAUAAGGAUCGGCUAAAUCCGUGCCAGCAGCCGCGGUAAUACGGAGGAUCCGAGAGUUAUCCGGAUUUAUUGGGUUUAAAGGGAGCGUAGGUGGAUUGUUAAGUCAGUUGUGAAAGUUUGCGGCUCAACCGUAAAAUUGCAGUUGAAACUGGCAGUCGUGAGUACAGUAGAGGUGGGCGGAAUUCGUGGUGUAGCGGUGAAAUGCUUAGAUAUCACGAAGAACUCCUAUUGCGAAGGCAGCUCACUGGACUGCAACUGACACUGAGGCUCGAAAGUGUGGGUAUCAAACAGGAUUAGAUACCCCGGUAGUC
rnacentral:rRNA from 1 species